UUUGAAUCACGCGCAGCGGCUCUCGUAUUGCACACGAGGAAGAAAAAGAACAGAGAUGAAGAAGCUGCGAACUGAAGUUAUAUUAUAUAUAUAUAUAUAUAUAUAUAUAUAUAUAAAGUGGCAGAACAUUUUAGUUAUUUAAGAUUGUAUAAAACAUAUGGUUAUAAAUAGGCCAAGAAGACAAUUAUGAAUGAGACUAUACGUGAUAACGUAUAUACAUUCGCUCGGAUAAUUAUGUGAUCCGCGAUUGUGUUCGACUUCUUUGACAGGAAGUCGCUUGUGUAAUAUGUUACUAAUGUAAUAUAGAGUUUUACGACAAAAACUAUUCAUUACGUACGAUUGUGAGAGAGAUGCAAGGCGAAAUAUUAUUUUCACCGCGCGUGAUGUCCUCGUGCUUUACUAUAUGAUCGACGAAAGAGCGAAUUGAGAUGUUUGAGAGAGAGAAAGAGAGAGAGAGAGCGAAUUGUACACGAUCUAACAUGUAGACCUGUCGAAGUAGAAAUGUGUGUAUCGUGUUGCAAAAUUCUACGUAAUGUAAUCGAACACACAACAUAUAGAAGCAAGAACGUUUUAAUUCGAGGAUAGAGAAAAAUGUAGGUCUAUAUCGAACCGAUGUAAUUUUGAUCGUGCUAAGAUUGUGUAAAGGAAAAUGGGGUUUUUUUCGUGUGACCCUCGAAUAUUUCCAUUACGAGAAAGAGUAUAAAAGAGAGAGAGAGAGAGAGAGAAAAAAAAAGAUAAAAAAAAGAAAAAAAAAGUAACUCAUAUUCCGAAAAUUUGUACUCGUAUAGAAGUUUCAGUUUACGAAUUUUUUUUUCGUUUUUUCGUUGCUAUUCUGUAUAUCGGUACUGCAGCUACCACUCGUAACUAUAUGUUCUGCGGUAACUGUGAGAAAUUGUGAAAGGCACGAAAAAGAAGGCUAAGAUAGGAAGACAAUAGGUAUGGAUAUGAUGAUGAUGAUCUCUCGAUUAAUUUUUUGUAGCAAAAGAAAACGGAGCGCUUAGAGGAGACGAAAAGAGAUUUGAAGAUUUUUUUCUGACGCACCAUAAUUGGUAUCGCCAAAAAAAAUAAUCCUUUACGAGGCACAAGUUUAUGGUACAUCGUAUCUUGUUCGUGGCCGAUCCUAAACGAAGAUCGAAAUAUAAUUAACGAGAUGAAUCAAUCUAUUUAUAUUUUACAAUUGAAAAUUUUAUUAUACGAUGAAUCGAAAUGAAAUGAAUCAUUGUGUAUAUGUUCGAGCGACGAACUAAAUACUAAAUAGAGAUGUAUUUAUGAUGAUCUAUUUUUAUCUUAUAUUAUUGAUUUACGAUGAAUUUGAAUCUCUGAUCUGACAAUGUUGCGGACUAUAUGCGAUGUACGUUUUUACGUAUUGUACCAUUCGCGAGGAAACGCUAGUUUCGCCUGUAUCCCACACGUAACGAAAUUAAAAUUGUAUCCAAUGAGGAAAUCGAUUGAAGUAUUGAAACCUGAAUUGUAGAGAAGCAUUACGAUUGCGUUACCGUUACUGCCACAUCAACGAGGCAUCAACGCUAUUAUUCCACGAAUAGAAGCACACGGGCCACUUAUGCUCCCAAGCACGUUUAUUCUGUGAGAUUUUCGUGCGAAAAAUAUUUUUGUGACGAUCCCUUAGGUUUAAUUUGUUAGCGACUUGAUCGAUGCGAGACACACGUACCUUGCGAUUGAAUUUAUAUAUCUUGAACAAAAAGAUAAAUUUGCGCCAAGUACACGCGGUUAACGAUUUCUUCGAUGCCUGCCAGGCAUGUGAAAUUAAUAGGGUACUAUAGGUUAUUAUUCGCGUUAUUAUUCGGAUUUUAAAAUGGUAAAAGCAGGGAAUGCAUAAUGGAGAUUUAUAUUUUGUUACAGGAAGACAACCACACGUUUUACAUUUGCUGUGAUCGUCGUAGAAUCGACGCUGUAUACUGCCGAAUCAAUAAGAAAGAAUAGAAAAAAAAAAGUAUAAAAAAAAAAAGAAAAUAUUUAAAAAAAAAAAAGAAAUAAGAAGAAAAAAAACUAAUACGAAUUACGUGACGCGAUAGAGGGACAAAAUAGAAAAUAGAGAAAUAAAGAUGGAAGAAAAUGUGCGAGAAAACAGAUAGAUUUUCGACGAGCACAGCUCCGAUGAUAGACCAAUAGAAACAACGAUACCUCAAGAAGACUCAAUAGUUAAUUAUCUCUUUAACGAUUAACUUGUACAGAAUCAAUAUUCUUUUACAGUAAAUAAUUACGCAUACCCACAUACAAUUGCAUACACACAGAUGCAGGUUAGGAAGAACAGCGAAAUCGUGAUUCAACAUUCGCUAUAUAAAGUAAAAAAACAAAUUUUCUGUCCCGCGUUUCAUUGAAUUGUGUCUCCGUGCUCGCAAUUUGCACUCCGUGUGUACGAAAGCGAUUAGAAAUAUGCGUUUCCAGCCAGAAGAAGAAGUGAAAAAAGAAAAAGCAAAAGACAAGUGUUAAUCCUUUCCAAGCACAGUUCAUGUUGUUCCUAUAGCUACGCGAAAAUUGUUUCUUUCGACAAUUAAAUCAUCUAUAUCUAUAUA
rnacentral:lncRNA from 1 species